AAUUCACAGUCAACUAGAAGUCUAAUUGGCCACAACUGUGAAUUUUCCUCUGUGGCUCAAGAAAACAGUGAAUUAACUCCAUUGGAUAGAUUUUACAGAUAGAUGAGCAGCAGAGAGCAGGCUGCAGACAUAUGCAGGGAUUCGUUGGAUUUGUGUUUGGCUUUAAGCCUGAACAUGCCACAGAAGAGUUCCUGAGCAGGGAGGACUUUGUGUUCAGGCAGGUGCCAGCACUUUCCUUCUUUAUCAAACAAAGGGAAAGAUCAAGAGAAAACUGAGAUUGCUUUAUGGAACCCAUUUGUGAUUUUUGAGUCUGAUCCAAAGGUCACUGAAAUGACCUUUAAUAGGAAACUCUGCUGAUUUCUCUGGUAUCCAGACUGUGUUUCUAAAGAAAAAGCUGCUAAAUACACAGCAGAGCUCACUCUUGAAAGCCACUGACCAUCUGCAUGGUGGAUCUACGUGUCUUGUGCAUGCCCAGUGUGAAGAUGUGGUGGAAGCAACUGGGAUGUGUUCUUCUCUUGGGAAUGGAAAUUGACUUUUAUUGAACUUUCAGAGACUAAGGAAAAAAAGCAAUGGAUACCCUCAAUAUUCCUGAAGGUGAAUAGUCUUAUUUUUAAAGAAAUUAAUACGUGAAUAAAGAUUAAUUUUUUCUUUUUUA